AUAAUUUUAUUUUUAAUUGUAAGCUUCAGUAAUAGAUAUGUAAAUAAAUAAAUAAAAUUCGAUAAUAAAAUCCUUUACUUAGACAGAACUAUACAUGUGAGUGAAUUUUAAAGUUAAGAGUUACUUA